GCUGGGCAUGGUGGUGGGUGCCUGUAAUCCCAGCUACACAGGAGGCUGAGGCAGGAGAAUUGCUUGAACCCAGGAGGCGGAGGUUGCGGUGAGCCGAGAUCACACCACUGUACUCCAGCCUGGGUGACAGAGCAAGACUCUGUCUCAA
rnacentral:SRP_RNA from 2 species